GACGAACGCUGGCGGCGUGCCUAAUACAUGCAAGUAGAACGCUGAAGAGAGGAGCUUGCUCUUCUUGGAUGAGUUGCGAACGGGUGAGUAACGCGUAGGUAACCUGCCUGGAAGCGGGGGAUAACUACUGGAAACGAUAGCUAAUACCGCAUAAAAUUGAUUAUUGCAUGAUAAUUAAUUGAAAGAUGCAACUGCAUCACUACCAGAUGGACCUGCGUUGUAUUAGCUAGUUGGUGAGGUAACGGCUCACCAAGGCGACGAUACAUAGCCGACCUGAGAGGGUGAUCGGCCACACUGGGACUGAGACACGGCCCAGACUCCUACGGGAGGCAGCAGUAGGGAAUCUUCGGCAAUGGGGGGAACCCUGACCGAGCAACGCCGCGUGAGUGAAGAAGGUUUUCGGAUCGUAAAGCUCUGUUGUAAGAGAAGAACGGGUGUGAGAGUGGAAAGUUCACACUGUGACGGUAUCUUACCAGAAAGGGACGGCUAACUACGUG
rnacentral:rRNA from 1 species